rnacentral:other from 1 species
AAUACCCUGCCUUGUUCGCAAUCAGACUAUCAUCUCUGAUCCUGUACUUAUAAGUUAUAGUAAGGGAGCUCGGAGUUCGCGUGGAGCCUACAUAUUCUUCUUUGGAGAAACGUAGAAACCUCGAGACAGAGCACCCACCUCGUUUUGCGAGGCUCAGAGAUCUGUCUUUAAGCGGCUAUGGCGGGGUAUUU